rnacentral:rRNA from 1 species
AUUGAACGCUGGCGGCAGGCCUAACACAUGCAAGUCGAACGAGUGGCGGACGGGUGAGUAAUGUCUGGGAAACUGCCUGAUGGAGGGGGAUAACUAGUGGAAACGUUAGCUAAUACCGCUUACCAUCGGAUGUGCCCAGAUUGGAUUAGCUAGUAGGUGGGGUAACGGCUCACCUAGGCGACGAUCCCUAGCUGGUCUGAGAGGAUGAUCAGUCACACUGGAACUGAGACACGGUCCAGACUCCUACGGGAGGCAGCAGUGGGGAAUAUUGGACAAUGGGCGAAAGCCUGAUCCAGCCAUGCCGCGUGUGUGAAGAAGGUCUUCGGAUUGUAAAGCACUUUAAGUUGGGAGGCGUUACCAACAGAAUAAGCACCGGCUAACUUCGUGCCAGCAGCCGCGGUAAUAC